rnacentral:tRNA from 3 species
GGGCCCUUAGCUCAGCUGGUUAGAGCAUCAGACUCAUAAUCUGAGGGUCGCUGGAUCGUUCCCAGCAGGGCCCA